rnacentral:rRNA from 1 species
GUGGGGAAUAUUGGACAAUGGGCGAAAGCCUGAUCCAGCCAUGCCGCGUGUGUGAAGAAGGUCUUCGGAUUGUAAAGCACUUUAAGUUGGGAGGAAGGGCAGUAAGUUAAUACCUUGCUGUUUUGACGUUACCGACAGAAUAAGCACCGGCUAACUUCGUGCCAGCAGCCGCGGUAAUACGAAGGGUGCAAGCGUUAAUCGGAAUUACUGGGCGUAAAGCGCGCGUAGGUGGUUUUGUAAGUUGGAGGUGAAAUCCCCGGGCUCAACCUGGGAACUGCAUCCAAAACUGCAUGACUAGAGUACGGUAGAGGGUAGUGGAAUUUCCUGUGUAGCGGUGAAAUGCGUAGAUAUAGGAAGGAACACCAGUGGCGAAGGCGACUACCUGGACUGAUACUGACACUGAGGUGCGAAAGCGUGGGGAGCAAACAGGAUUAGAUACCCGUGUAGUCC